CCUAUUAUAUUCUAAAGAGUUCAGCACAGGUGAACACUUUAGAGUUUUUAGUGAUCACUGAGAUUCCUGUCAGUGAAACCAAACAACCCAUUUUUCCAAAGUAAAAUUCAGUUUGAUUUGAUCAGAAAUAAACCAGAAGUUACUGAUUAACAGGAAAAAUGAGCUGUGAGAUCCCAACGUGAACGAUCUGAAAUUAAAGGAGCCCUGUGAAGUUUUCUUGUACACAGUAGUUGUGUUCACAUUCAGUGUUACUCACUGAGACACACUGUGUGUAUCUUUGUUGCAUUCCUCAUACCACAUUGCAAAGCUGUUUCUUUCAGCUUUUUGUGUCAGGAGAGAUUGUAUUUUUUUUAUCAUUGCAAAACAUGUAACGUUCAACACUCUGGUGAGCGAUGGCUCUUCCUUAUCUCCCAGCUUGUUGCAGUCACCUUCCUGUUUGUUGUUUUUCUGUUUCUAUGGCGGCUGGCAAACUAUGAAAGGACUCUGACUCACAUCCAGUCUCACCUGGCUGUGUUGGAAAAAGCAGGACUUUGUGACUUAGAUGUGGUCUCUGGUGUAAGCCCGCAGCCUGUCCAUGUCCACCCUCUGACAAGAGAGAAAUUCCCCGUUAAAGAUGUGACACACACCAGGAUGGAUGGUUCCUAACUUAUCAGCAAUCAUGUCCAUCCUCUGCUUCCUGAAGUGAAGAAAGCUCAUGAUGGCACUGAGAACAGUCAGAGUCUUCUGUUUUUCUUCAAAGGAACAGCAGAACCAUUAUCAAAGGACCCCCUCAUGAUAUACUGGAUACUGAAUGUUCUCCAGAAGUGGAACCUGUUGGAAAACAAAAAGCAAAUCAACCUCUCAACUAAAAGCAAGGAUAAGAUGGAAGUGUAUGAGGCUCAGUGACAUUUACCAUUACAUUAUGUAAUGUGUUGAAAGAGACAUGAUGAUACCAGACAAACUUGAAGAGAACAGUUCCUUAUCAUAGUGGUAAACAUGCCUGGAUGCAAACUGGUAGUUUUUUUUUCUCCAGUCAAACGCAGCACUUACCAUAGAGUGACACUCAGGUCUGAAGCGAUACAGGAGAUGCAGCACUCUCAUGUACAGUGUUUGAACUGCCUCUGGCUGUAAGAGAGAAUAAUCAGGUGCUGAGUUAAAGGUCUGUAGUUUAUAUGACCUGCAAUACAGGCUGUUAUCUAGACCAGUUCUUUGUCUCACUGAGGUCCAGCUGGUUCUCCAAGCUGUAUGAGUUGGAACAUAAUUAAAAGACAUGUUUAUAUUUGUCUUCACAUGUGUAUAUGUACAUUGAAAGACCUGUUGCUAUUUGUUUUCUCAUUUAUCUGCUUUGUUGAAAAAAUGUCUCACAGCUUAAACUGAUGUAUUAAAUUUGCUUGUUUGAUUUAACCAACAUAAAAUUAAUCUACAGGUAUUUUGAUAACUGAUCAUUUGUUUUAUUUUUCAAGCAAAGAUUCAGAACAUCUGCUGGUUAAAGCUUUUCAAGUGUGAGGAUUUGCUGUGUUUUUGUUAUAUUUGAUUGUAAACUAAAUAUUUUUGUGUUUUGGACUGUCGGUCAGAUAAAACAAGCAAUUUCAACACAUGAUUUUGACAGGGAAAUUAUUAGUUGUCACAGUAACAGUUAAUCAAUUAACCAAAAACAACUGGAAG